rfam:Callithrix jacchus chromosome 1, whole genome shotgun sequence
AGGAUGGAGAUGACCCCAACAUGCCAUCUGAAUGCCUGUGCUGAAACCCAGGGGCUGUUUCUGAACCA